UUUAAGUUCUUUGUCAAAGCCCCUCGCAUAGCCCAAGGGUUUCCAUUGUUUCCUAAUCGACAAACCCACCUGGCUUCCCGCAGGCCGUGGAGAAGACUGUUCUUCCGAAUCUACCUAAUUCUCAGAGCGGUAAGCUUGCUGCAAGGGUCUCCUUCACCUUCCCAGGGCAACAUGCAUCCUAUCCGAAGAGCAGACGGUUCCCUAACAAUAUCAUUAAACCCGUUGUUCUUGUGCUCUGGGCCACCGCGACAGCAACCGCCCCCCCCUCCCCCCACCACACCCCGGACCCGGGUCCUGCUCCCGGGUGCCGCAGCCCCUGUGUGGGAGGAAGCGACAUCUUCCGCCCGCCGGUUGUGGGCCCCUUCCAAACGGGGAUCCAUGAAAUUGGUCCCCGGCUUCCUGCCCCUCGUUGGCUCAAGCUUGGUUUUGUUCUUUUUCUGUCUCUCCCUAUAAUUCCUUUAAUGGGCAAAACUGACACAAACGCAGGUGGACAUUUUAAAGUGAAAGCUUCAGGAAAUGGACCAUUUCACCUUGUAAAGAGAUCUGCUGAAUCACACACAAGGGAUAGCCCCCCCCCCCCCCGCGCGCCCCAUAUUCAACAGUCUCUUGAACAGAAGACUGAGAAGACAACACUCUUAACAUCGACUUUUUUCCGCCUCCGAGACAGGAAAGUCAGCAAGUGCAAGGUCAGUCUUGCGAGCAGCCUUUCUCCGACGGAGAAAAGGCAGGCGCCCAAGGGGCCGAGUGCGGCCUCCACCGUAGGGUCCGCAGAGGAACCAUUAACCAAGAAAUUACUAGCAACUGGACGGCCCCCCGCAGGACCACCAGCCGCCAGCAGCGAGCAGGGCAGGGAGGCAUAAGGCCAUGCGAAGGAGCGUACGCUGACCAGCAAAGAUGGCCACUUUCACGUGGCUAUGGGCUACUGGCUCCCUGUCACCCGGGCAUCCCAAGGCCGGGCGGCCGGAAAGACCCUCGGGUAGAACGAGAGGACAAAACACCCGCCGAUUCCCGCCACCACCGCUGGGGGGACGCGACCUCGCGGCCGGAGAGCCCGGGCCAACGGUCGGAAGGGAGGUGCCAAGUCACAGCACGGGGGGAGCAGGCCCGUAAAGCCCUCGUCGGUCUUCCUCCCACAUCGAACAGGGAAACGUGAGAUGACCCAAUACACUCGUCUUUCUCCUCACCCCUUGUUAUCAGUGCCUAAGACGGCGAAAUAUCUGUACGAGGGGCGCGUUAUCUCCGCUCCCUUCCCCUGCCUGGCAGAGUGGUUUGGCCCGAGCUCCCCUCGGCGCACCGCCCCUUUCCCC
rnacentral:lncRNA from 1 species